UACAAAGGGGGCUAGCGUUGUUCGGAUUUACUGGGCGUAAAGCGCACGUAGGCGGAUCGUUAAGUCGGGGGUGAAAUCCUGGAGCUCAACUCCAGAACUGCCUUCGAUACUGGCGAUCUUGAGUCCGGAAGAGGUGAGUGGAACUCCUAGUGUAGAGGUGGAAUUCGUAGAUAUUAGGAAGAACACCAGUGGCGAAGGCGGCUCACUGGUCCGGUACUGACGCUGAGGUGCGAAAGCGUGGGGAGCAAACAGG
rnacentral:rRNA from 1 species